AGUGAACGCUGGCGGUAGGCCUAACACAUGCAAGUCGAACGGCAGCACAGUAAGAGCUUGCUCUUACGGGUGGCGAGUGGCGGACGGGUGGGGAAUACAUCGGAAUCUACUUUUUCGUGGGGGAUAACGUAGGGAAACUUACGCUAAUACCGCAUACGACCUACGGGUGAAAGCAGGGGAUCUUCGGACCUUGCGCGAUUGAAUUAGCCGAUGUCGGAUUAGCUAGUUGGCGGGGUAAAGGCCCACCAAGGCGACGAUCCGUAGCUGGUCUGAGAGGAUGAUCAGCCACACUGGAACUGAGACACGGUCCAGACUCCUACGGGAGGCAGCAGUGGGGAAUAUUGGACAAUGGGCGCAAGCCUGAUCCAGCCAUACCGCGUGGGUGAAGAAGGCCUUCGGGUUGUAAAGCCCUUUUGUUGGGAAAGAAAAGCAGCAGGUUAAUACCCCGCUGUUCUGACGGUACCCAAAGAAUAAGCACCGGCUAACUUCGUG
rnacentral:rRNA from 1 species